rnacentral:rRNA from 1 species
AAAAGUCGUAACAAGGUUUCCGUAGGUGAACCUGCGGAAGGAUCAUUAUCGUACAACCGAGGUGCCAAGGGCUGUCGCUGACCCUCAAAGGUUGUGACGCCCAAAGCGCUCUCACACAUCCAUCUCACCCCUUUUGUGCAUCACCGCGUGGGCCCCCCUUUGCAGGAGGGCUUGCGUUUUCACACAAAACUUGAUACAGUGUAGAAUGUUUUUCUCUUGCAGUCACAUGCAAUCAAUACAACUUUCAACAACGGAUCUCUUGGCUCUCGCAUCGAUGAAGAACGCAGCGAAAUGCGAUACGUAAUGUGAAUUGCAGAAUUCAGUGAAUCAUCGAAUCUUUGAACGCACCUUGCGCCCCUUGGCAUUCCGAGGGGCACACCCGUUUGAGUGUCGUGAAAUCAUCAAAACCCUUUUCUUUGAUCCCUAUUGUGGUCAGGAAAAGGAUUUUUGGACUUGGAGGUUUCAUGCUUGCUUUUGCUUUCAAAAGUGAGCUCCUCUCAAAUGAAUUAGUGGGGUCUGCUUUGCUGGUCCUUGACGUGAUAAGAUGUUUCUACGUUUUGGAUUUGGCACUGUCCCUUGGAUGCCUGCUUUUAACUGUCUCUCGUGACAAUGAUGGUGCUUCGGUCACCGGCCAAUCUACAUUGGCGGGGAGGCUGGGCCACACAAAGAAAGACCUUGACCUCAAGUCGGGUGAGACUACCCGCUGAACUUAAGCAUAU